UACGUAGGGUGCGAGCGUUAAUCGGAAUUACUGGGCGUAAAGCGUGCGCAGGCGGUGAUGUAAGACAGAUGUGAAAAUCCCCGGGCUCAACCUGGGACCUGCAUUUGUGACUGCAUCGCUAGAGUACGGUAGAGGGGGAUGGAAUUCCGCGUGUAGCAGUGAAAUGCGUAGAUAUGCGGAGGAACACCGAUGGCGAAGGCAAUCCCCUGGACCUGUACUGACGCUCAUGCACGAAAGCGUGGGGAGCAAACGAGG
rnacentral:rRNA from 1 species